rnacentral:tRNA from 1 species
UGUGGAUAGCUCAGUGGUAGAGCAUUUGUUUAGCAUGCACAUGGCUCUGGGUUCAAUCCCCAGUACCAUAU